rnacentral:rRNA from 1 species
ACGAACGCUGGCGGCGUGCUUAACACAUGCCAGUCGCACGGAAAGGCCCUGCUUUUGUGGGGUGCUCGAGUGGCGAACGGGUGAGUAACACGUGAGUAACCUGCCCUUGACUUUGGGAUAACUUCAGGAAACUGGGGCUAAUACCGGAUAGGAGCUCCUGCUGCAUGGUGGGGGUUGGAAAGUUUCGGCGGUUGGGGAUGGACUCGCGGCUUAUCAGCUUGUUGGUGGGGUAGUGGCUUACCAAGGCUUUGACGGGUAGCCGGCCUGAGAGGGUGACCGGCCACAUUGGGACUGAGAUACGGCCCAGACUCCUACGGGAGGCAGCAGUGGGGAAUAUUGCACAAUGGGCGGAAGCCUGAUGCAGCAACGCCGCGUGCGGGAUGACGGCCUUCGGGUUGUAAACCGCCUUCGCCUGUGACGAAGCGUGAGUGACGGUAAUGGGUAAAGAAGCACCGGCUAACUACGUG